AGUGGUGGAAAUUAAACCAAAUGGGAUAUCUUUAGUAAUUGCGAAUGAACAAGGAUAUGCUUAGCUUGACAAAUGGAGCUAUUGGCUUUGAAUUGUAUUGUGGAAAUGUAUUACCAACAGAGGUGCAGGUGCCAGCCUAUUGAAAUAAAGCGUCAAUGAGGGUGAGAAUCCUGUUUGUCAUGUGCAGCCCUUUGUGCACGGUGUAUAUUUGCUGAGUCACACUCCUUGGCAUUGGAAUGCAAAGUGGGUGGUAAGUUUCAUGUAAAGGUAAACAUGCAAUUGAGACUGAUAGCACACAAGUACCAUGAGGGAAAUAUGAAAAGGACUUUGAAAAGAGAAUUAAAUGAGUUUGUAUUUGCUGAACACAAAGUAAACAGACUUGAUUUGCUUGGUGGGAGUGUUGCACUUGCUUGACAAGAGCUUUGGGCUGUGGGUGUAAUGAUUCUUUCUUUGCAUGCCAGUUUCUAUUUGUACAUCUGAUUACCUUUGCACAUGAAUGAUAAGUCUCCUGUGGGGGGUGGAUUGCAUGUGCAUGUAAUGAUUUGUGUUUUGAUAAAUGUGUCUGGUGUAUGUGUGUGUUCCUGUGCUUGGGGAUGCUUCCUUCCUUGGACUUACAAGCCCUGACACACACAUGCUGGCAAAAUGCUUCUGCUUGACCCGUCUUGAAACACGGACCAAGGAGUCUAACAGAUGUGCAAAGUUUGAAGGUGGUAUACCUUUGUGUGCAAUGAAAGUGUCAGCUGGGAUAUGUGCACCAGCACCCAAUUAAUUAGCGGACAGAGGUUUGAGUUGGAGCAUAUCUAUUAGGACCCGAAAGAUGGUGAACUAUGCCUGAACAGAAUGAAUUCAGAGGAAACUCUGAUGGAGGUUCGUAUCGAUACUGACGUGCAAAUCGUUCGUCAUA
rnacentral:rRNA from 1 species